UCGGGAAUUUUGGGCAAUGGGCGAAAGCCUGACCCAGCAACGCCGCGUGAGGGAUGAAGUAUUUCGGUAUGUAAACCUCGAAAGAAUGGGAAGAAUAAAUGACGGUACCAUUUAUAAGCUCCGGCUAACUACGUGCCAGCAGCCGCGGUAAUACGUAGGGAGCAAGCGUUGUUCGGAUUUACUGGGCGUAAAGGGCGCGUAGGCGGCGCGGUAAGUCACUUGUGAAAUCUCUGAGCUUAACUCAGAACGGCCAAGUGAUACUGCUGUGCUAGAGUGCGGAAGAGGCAACCGGAAUUCUUGGUGUAGCGGUGAAAUGCGUAGAUAUCAAGAGGAACACCUGAGGCGAAGGCGUGUUGCUGGGCCUACACUGACGCUGAUGCGCGAAAGCCAGGGGAGCAAACG
rnacentral:rRNA from 1 species